UGUGGUAAAGCUCAGAAGUAGAGCACAUACUUCAUAUGCAUGGGGUCCUGGGUUCAAUCCCCAGUGUCUCCA
rfam:Camelus ferus unplaced genomic scaffold scaffold1857, whole genome shotgun sequence.